rnacentral:rRNA from 1 species
GCGCACCAGGCGCGAAUAUUCGGCAAUGGGCGAAAGCCUGACCGAGCGACGCCGCGUGCGGGAUGAAGGCCUUUCGGGUUGGUAAAACCGCUUUUCUAAGGGAAAAAUUGUGUCUCACUGUUGUUUGGAGAAAAAUAAUAAGAAUAAGGUGGAUGGCCGUAGAGUUCCGUGACUUCCGCAGGUUUUUCAUAAAAAUACCAAAUUACAGUGAGGC